CCGGGCUAGAGCGAGGGGCACGGCUGUCAGUCGGGGGGGCUCGGUCCUCUCAUUUUCCUGUGCCCAUCGCAUCUCCCCGCGGACCAGCCGGCCCUGCCCAGCUGCUCCCCUCCCUCCCCCUGUCCGGGAACCGGGUUUGGGGCUGGGGGAGGCGGUGCCCACCCCUCCGCGGGGCCGGCGGGAGCGGUGGCUCGGCAGCCCGGGCCGGGCUGCGCUGCGCUGCGCUGGGGGAGCAGGUUUCUUUGUUGGCUGCCGGGUGACUGGUUCCCAUUAAUCUCCCGCACUGGUCGUGGCCGUCUCCACUUCCUGCCUUUGCAUACUUUUCUCUCCCUCGAUCUCAGUCCCUUCCCACCCCCCUCCCUCCCUCCCCCCUUUCUUUGCCUCUUCCCAGCUUCUCCAAAAAAGCUACAACCGCCCGGGCUGCGGGACGGGGGCUGCAGGCGGCCGGCGGAGGGAGCGCAUCCCUGCGCACCUCGAAAAUAUUUGUUACUCAAAAGGUUCUGAGGAUUAGCCAGGCACACCAGAGAAGCCAGUGAGGGAGACCCAUCCUGAAGCAGCAGGUUUUGGAUCACACUGCAGCCCAUCACUUGUGUAGGUUUCCCUUCCUCUCUCAAGUAAGGUCUU
rnacentral:lncRNA from 1 species